UAAAAGCGUUAAUUUUUAGUAUACCCUGCUCAAUGAAACUUAAAUAGCCGCAAAAUUUGUGCUAAGGUAGCAUAAUCAUUUGCCUAAUAAUUAUAGGAUAGUAUGAAAGGGAUGACAUGUAAUUAACUUUAUUAAGAAAAAUUUUCAAAUUUAAAAAGUAAGCAACAAUUCUUACAUAACUAGGGGGACGAUAAGACCCUGUCAAACUUCACCAUGAGGUUUAGCUGGGGCGGCAGAAAAUUAAAACUUUACCCUAACACUGAUAAUAAAACCUGUAUAACAGAUAUAACAAGUUACUGCAGGGAUAACAGCACAAUCAUCCUUUAAAGAUCUUAUAAAAAUGAUGGCUUGUGACCUCGAUGUUGAAUUAAAGAUCUCUUUGAGGCAACCCUCAAAAAAGAAAGUCUGUUCGACUUUUAAACCAUU
rnacentral:rRNA from 1 species